rnacentral:lncRNA from 8 species
CUUCAAAAUGCAAUGUUGUGUUUGGGGGUGCAAGGCCCAAUAUCGGAAAGGAGGAGGGUUAGGGUUUUUCCGAUUCCCUACUGGAGAGAACGAAAUUGCUCAAAGUCAAAGGAAAACUUGGAUAAAAAUGGUGAAGAGAGAAGAACCAGAUCUGCCUUCCCGUGUGGGUGGUAAAUUGGUACUCCAAAUGGGAAACGACUGGCACCCUACUACCUCCUCUCGCAUUUGUGGGAGGCACUUUGUUUUAAAGAAACCAAACCUGCAUCCGGACCACCCUGACUUUGCCCCAUCCCUCUUCCUUCACCCAGAGGACUAUGCCUCGAGUCCGAACACAGCUCAGACAGAAGGGAAAAGAAACCUGCAGAGCUAUGACAGGGCGGUGAAGAAGAAGAAGAAGUGCCUUGACCUGAGUGAGGUUGGAGGUGCUGACCCGAGGGACAGUUAUGCUGACACCACAGAAGAAACUGAAGAGCAGGACCUGGGCACCUGUGUAUCGUGUGAGGUCCUGAGGAAGUCCUUAAAUGAUUUGCAAUCCAGGCAUGAUGCUCUGCAAGUCGAAGCUGUCGAUCUCAGGGCGGAGAGAGACUUUUAUAAAGAGAACGCAUCUCAAUCCUCUCUCUUUGUUGACACCUUUACAGACAGAGACAAUCAAACGCAUACAGUGAGAGAAGUGCCAAGCAUGGCUAAACCAAAUGGUAUGAACCAACAAUGUACUGGGAUGGUUGAGGAGCCAUGUCUUAUGGAGGUUGAGGAGCCAUGUCUUAUGGAGAUUGAGGAGCUUUGUCCUGUGAAGGUUGAGGGGGACUAUGAUCAAGUGUUGAUUAAGGAAGAGGAACAACAGGUCCAAAUAGAACUUUGUAGCCCCUUGGCUAGUCAGGACAAAGUGACCCAUGUCUCCCAGGAUAAACCUACCCAGCAUAACAACAUUAUGAAGGCCACCAGGCGACCAUGUCUGUUAGCCCAGGAUAAACCCAUCCAGAUAGUCAACACAAUGUCACUCACUAGAGUGGUAGCCUCCAGGCCCCCAAGCCAGGUAACCAUGGAUAAACCUAUCCAGCUUGCCAAAACCAACGACCAAUGUUUUGUGAAGGUUGAGGAGUCAUGUUUUGUGGUUGAGGUGGACUAUGAUCAAAUGUCGAUUAAGGAAGCAGAGCAACAAGUCCAAAUAGAAAUCUGUAGCCCCUUGGCUAGUCAAGACAAAGUGACCAAUGUCUCUCACAGGCUGCCAAUUCAUGUCCCCAAGGAUAAACCUAUCCAGCUUGCCAAAGCCGUAGUAGAAAGCCACCUAAUGACUAACCAUCUGCCUGGCAGCCAAACCACUGCUGAGCCUUUGCAGAAGACUCCUCUGUCAGCUCAAAGGACACCUGUUGCAGGCAAACAAAUUCAGAGAAGCAUAACAAACACAGAGAGGGAUGAGUUGCUUUGGCUGGGCUACAUGAAGUGGAAUGUGCGUCUUCCUGCAAGCACAAUUAGAACUGCACACAAGUUUCAGACGCCUAGGGCAACAGUGCAAUACCUUCUACACGCAGUCUUCUCCCAAUGUGAACUCGCUACCAGCAAUCUCAAGGGCAUUCCUGCACUGGGCCUUAACAAACUGGACCCGGACAAACUUUCUGCCAUAAGACAGUUUGUCGCCACUAAGUUUCGCCGUUUAGACAUGCGUCAAUGUGGUAAAGACUGGGUAAAGUGCCGGCGCCAGAUAACCAGCAUGCUCAGGAACAUUCGGAAGGAGGACAGGAAGACGAGGGGGCUCUCAGGAAACCUUUGUAUGAUAGAGAAAGUGGUAACGGAUCAGAGUUUGCCCAGUCAGCCAUCGCCUCCCUCAUUCCCCUCGAUCUCCCAACAGCACACAGCUGCCUUCUACAGCCCAACAGAAGAAGAAGAGAUCCUCUGUCUCGAGAGUUAGGUUACACAAUAUCUGUAAUGAUGUUUGCAUUUUCUUGUAAUAAACAGUUUGUUGGGAGUAAAAAAUAUAAUAUGACUGACAAUGUAUAUUUGAACUUUGGUUGAUGUACAUGUGGUAGAGUGGAGCUUUGAAGGAGUGAUGUAUGGAUAGCGCACUGGGUUAGGUUAGAGUUAGAAUAUGAAGUGCUUGAGACACUGGUAGAAAACCUAAAUGCAAUCCAUCAUUAUAACGUGGCACUCCAAUCAGACCUGUCGGUGGCUAUGAAAUGGCCUCUUUUUCCUCAUCUCCUUCCUGAUGGCUCUCCCCAUUAUGAGCACAUUAGAAGUGAAUUCCUGCUGGCUCUCCCCAUUAUGAGCACGUUAGAAGUGAAUUCCUGCUGGCUCUCCCCAUUAUGAGCACAUUAGAAGUGAAUUCCUGCUGGCUCUCCCCAUUAUGAGCACGUUAGAAGUGAAUUCCUGCUGGCUCUCCCCAUAAUGAGCACGUUAGAAGUGAAUUCCUGCUGGCUCUCCCCAUUAUGAGCACGUUAGAAGUGAAUUCCUGCUGGCUCUCCCCAUUAUGAGCACAUUAGAAGUGAAUUCCUGCUGGCUCUCCCCAUUAUGAGCACAUUAGAAGUGAAUUCCUGCUGGCUCUCCCCAUAAUGAGCACGUUAGAAGUGAAUUCCUGCUGGCUCUCCCCAUUAUGAGCACGUUAGAAGUGAAUUCCUUCUGGCUCUCCCCAUUAUGAGCACAUUAAAGUGAAUUCCUUCUGGCUCUCCCCAUUAUGAGUACGUUAGAAGUGAAUUCCUGCUGGCUCUCCCCAUAAUGAGCACGUUAGAAAUUAAUUCCUGCUGGCUCUCCCCAUUAUGAGCACGUUAGAAGUGAAUUCCUGCUGGCUCUCCCCAUAAUGAGCACGUUAGAAGUGAAUUCCUGCUGGCUCUCCCCAUUAUGAGCACGUUAGAAGUGAAUUCCUGCUGGCUCUCCCCAUUAUGAGCACGUUAGAAGUGAAUUCCUGCUGGCUCUCCCCAUUAUGAGCACGUUAGAAGUGAAUUCCUGCUGGCUCUCCCCAUUAUGAGCACGUUAGAAGUGAAUUCCUGCUGGCUCUCCCCAUUAUGAGCACGUUAGAAGUGAAUUCCUGCUGGCUCUCCCCAUUAUGAGCACGUUAGAAGUGAAUUCCUGCUGGCUCUCCCCAUUAUGAGCACGUUAGAAGUGAAACCAAAGGUGGAUAGAGUCUUUCCAUAAGGGAGCUGAGUGAAAUAACUCAUACACACAUUUUCAACAUAAUAUACUAGGUAUAUAAUCUGUACAUAGGUGAAAUAUUUUAUUUCAAAUUAUUUUAACAGGAUUUGUGUAUGCCUGGAGUUCAUUCACUCAGCCAGUUUUUUGGGGUAAAGAUUGCCAACGUUUGCAGCUGUUGGCACCGUGGCAGCAGUGGCAAUGUAAACAAAAUCAAUGUGUGGAUUGCUCUCGCCUAACAUGGACUUCAUUUCAUGACAUAGGUGAACUAUCUUUUUAAUCAAACCAGUCCCAUGGAUACUCAGGACUACUUUAACCUCCCUCUGUUUCUAUGGUGACGCCACAAUCUGUUCCUCACAAAAGUAGGGCAUUAGAAAAUAUUUCUCAUGCAUCAGGACCCAGGACAUUUAGCAUUUAACUCUAACCAAGUAUGUAAUCAGCAUGCAGUUGCUUACCCAUGUGUGUCUAAUGAAAUCAACUGGAUCAGAUGUAGGAUGGUACAUUACGGUUACUGAUAGUUUCCACUAUAUUAUCUACUAUCAUCUACCCAGACAUGGGCUGUCUGAAAUGGCUAGGGAAUAGGGUGCCAUUUAAAAUGCUGCCAUAGGCACAUUUUUAUCUCAUUCUAAGAUAGGCCACAGAAAAGGGCUUGAUGUUUGAAUGUAGGAAAACGCUUUAUACAUAUUCCCACAUCCUCAGUGAAUUGACUCUGAAAUGUCUCACUUAUUUUUUGUCAGAGGACACCAAGUCCAUUAGUGAUGCUAUGGCAACUCUAUUUAAAUAAGUAAGUAUAACAAAAUCUUUAGACUUUACAUCUUAACACAGAGAACCUUGAGUCUAGUUGACCCACUGGCACUCUGAGUCUUCAUAAACUACCUCAGCUGAGAAAGAACAGCAUAUGAUCGUUCCCUUAGUGUAGCAUGGCAAUGAAUAGCUUAGGCUGGGAUAGUUUAUUCAAAUGAUUAGAUUUGUUUAAACGUGUAUCUACAUGCAGCACAGAAAGGUUAUUUGAGCCAGUACAACUCAAUAGCAAUCACAAGUAGGCUAUCUUUGGCACAUUAUUGAGGCACCCAUAAUACACUCCUACCCUGCAUUGAAGAUGGCACAUUUUGGGUUGUCCUUGGACAGCAUGCACCCUCAUGAGCUGAUAUUAUUUAUAGCCUAAUUUCGUUGAUAAACAAUAUAUAAUAUAUGCAUAACAUUUUUAAUCAAAAUGUUUAAAAUAAGCUAGCCUAUACAUAAAUAUGAUUUAACUAUUAAAAUAAAAAAACGGAAUAACAGCAUUAGAUCGUGCAUACUUUUCUUCAAGCCCAACCCUAAACACAGCACCACUGAUAUGGAAAUCAUAUGGCUAUAGGCGACACAUACGUACACGGUGCGGUGUAUCGUGCUGGCGCGUCAUAUCGCCAAGCUGACCAGUUGAGUUGGAACCGAAAAUAUGAAAUGCGCAGCAGCUGGAGAACGAAAAUCCAAACGCAAGACACUAUUCUGAACCUGUCCUUGAACACAAACCAGUGACAUUGAUGCUCAAAUAGGCUUAUAUGAUGACACGUUUCCCCCCAAAAUGUAUUAGGCGCUAGAAAGUACAAACUAUUGCUUUACCUGAAAAGUUGAUUUUCGCUUUUGCAAGCAGAAAGUAUGAGAUUUGUAUUGCCCCCUUUGCAGAAAUACCGGUGCGCGUUGACUGCGUUCACAUCUCUCUGUCUCUCUCUCUCUCUCUCUCUCUCUCUCUCCUCCUC